UAUCACUCACAGAAACCUAUUGCUCCUCAAUAUUUGAGAUUUUAUUCAACAUUUUUUUGGAAAACUUCCUUGACAAACCUAUGGAACAGGGCAACAAAGGGUGAGCCACCAGUGUCCCCUAUAGCCUUAGAAGGCAAGUUGUACCAUCUAAGCGUUUUGAGGAUUUUUAUCUGGAGACAGAGCCACUCUAUAACAGGAAUGAUCUUCAGACUGGGGAGAAGUUGACCUGGAAGACUGGUGAAGGCUCUGCCUCCAGCUCCAGAGUCCUCUCCCUGGGCCCAUCUUUUCUGGAGAUACCUUUAGCAGUGGAGACAACUCUUCAGCUCUGCCACAACAUUACCCUGGAUCCUUACUACCAGCUAAGGGUGGAUGUGAGAGCACCUGCAAGCUUUCUGAACUCACCCUGUCCACCGGCCCAGAGGCUUCUGAGCGUGUGGGCCGCAGGAAGAAACAGGCCAAGCCCUGUAGAGUGGUGCCUUGCAAAGAUCAGGCUUAACAAGCUCUUGGAAUCUCCAAUGGGCCCCUGGUGAUCAAGCUGUGCUCACCUGAGCAGAAGACUGUGGCGUCUCUCUCUUCAGUCUACCUGAGCUCCAGUCAAAGUCACCGAGAAUCUCAACUGAGUUCUCAAACUCCCAUGGACUCCACACCACAGGCUCGUAAGUUGAAAAAAGCACCACAGAAACAGGUGAAUCAAAAAUCCAAUGACCUGAAGAAGAGGCUGGAGAUAGCAGCCAUACUGCUGGAACUUGCACAGCAAGUCCCUGACUUGGUUCCGGAGGCAGGGUUCACCAUCAAUUUCCAGCAGCAACUCAACCUGAUAAAGAAAUGCCGCUCCAAAGGGAACCAAAACACCUCCCAUCCAAACAAAGGAACCUCUGUG